GGACCCGCACAAGCGGUGGAGUAUGUGGUUUAAUUCGAUGCAACGCGAAGAACCUUACCAGGGUUUGAAAUCAUUUCAAAACUCCUUGAAAGAGGAGCCUCCUUCGGGAUGAAAUGACAGGUGGUGCAUGGCUGUCGUCAGCUCGUGUUGUGAAAUGUCGAGUUAAGUCUCGUAACGAGCGCAACCCAUGUCUCUUGUUGCUCACUGAGUGCUUAAGAGAGACUGCCGACCAACAUCGGAGGAAGGUGUGGAUGAUGUCAAGUCAGCAUGCCCCUUACAUCCUGGGCUACACACGUACUACAAUGCUACGGACAAAGGGCUGCAAGUUCGCGAGGACAAGCAAAUCCCAUAAACCGUGGCUCAGUUCAGAUCGUAGGCUGCAACUCGCCUACGUGAAGGCGGAAUCGCUAGUAAUCGCAGGU
rnacentral:rRNA from 1 species